rnacentral:lncRNA from 1 species
CAUCCAUGUUUUCUUUGGAAAAAAAACAAAAAAUCACCUCCACAAGUUCUCCAUAUCUCUUCAUCAUCUUUUUGCACAUGGCAAACCGUCGUCACCUAUACGCAAAUAUACACGCGGCCUGGAGUGUGCAUCCAGAGAAGUAGAAGGAGGUGUGAAAUGAAAAGGAGGAAAUACAGGGUUCGACAUGAGAAAAGUGCAAGAGAAAGAUGUAGUGGAAAAGCUUAAACAUGUACAGAA